UGACUNGAGUGCAGAAGGGGAGAGUGGAAUNCCAUGUGUAGCGGUGAAAUGCGUAGAUAUAUGGAGGAACACCAGUGGCGAAAGCGGCUCUCUGGUCUGUCACUGACGCUGAGGCUCGAAAGCGUGGGUAGCGANCAGGAUUAGAUACCCUGGUAGUCCACGCCGUAAACGAUGAGUGCUAGGUGUUAGGCCCUUUCCGGGGCUUAGUGCCGGAGCUAACGCAAUAAGCACUCCGCCUGGGGAGUACGACCGCAAGGUUGAAACUCAAAGGAAUUGACGGGGGCCCGCACAAGCGGUGGAGCAUGUGGUUUAAUUCGAAGCAACGCGAAGAACCUUACCAGGUCUUGACAUCCCGAUGCUAUUCUUAGAGAUAGGAAGUUACUUCGGUACAUCGGAGACAGGUGGUGCAUGGUUGUCGUCAGCUCGUGUCGUGAGAUGUUGGGUUAAGUCCCGCAACGAGCGCAACCCUUAUUGUUAGUUGCCAUCAUUAAGUUGGGCACUCUAGCGAGACUGCCGGUAAUAAACCGGAGGAAGGUGGGGAUGACGUCAAAUCAUCAUGCCCCUUAUGACCUGGGCUACACACGUGCUACAAUGGUCGGUACAACGAGUUGCGAGCCGGUGACGGCAAGCUAAUCUCUGAAAGCCGAUCUCAGUUCGGAUUGGAGGCUGCAACUCGCCUCCAUGAAGUCGGAAUCGCUAGUAAUCGCGGAUCAGCACGCCGCGGUGAAUACGUUCCCGGGCCUUGUACACACCGCCCGUCACACCACGAGAGUUUGUAACACCCGAAGUCGGUGAGGUAACCUUUUAGGGGCCAGCCG
rnacentral:rRNA from 1 species